UACGGGGGGGGCAAGCGUUGUUCGGAAUUACUGGGCGUAAAGGGCUCGUAGGCGGCCAACUAAGUCAGACGUGAAAUCCCUCGGCUUAACCGGGGAACUGCGUCUGAUACUGGAUGGCUUGAGUUUGGGAGAGGGAUGCGGAAUUCCAGGUGUAGCGGUGAAAUGCUUAGAUAUCGUCAAGAACACCUAUAGCGAAGGCAGCUUACUAGGCUGUAACUGACGCUGAGGCACGAAAGUGUGGGGAUCAAACAGG
rnacentral:rRNA from 1 species